GCCGCCUUAAAAAUCUUUAUUUAAAACAUUUUUUAUCUAUAUUAUAGUGUUUAAAUUUGUCAUUUUGUUGAAACUAAACAGCUACUGUACGUCAAAAAAAUCCCGAAAACUUAUCACUAAGCUCUGUCGUCUAUGAAUUUACUUGCCCUGGAUGUAAUAGUAGGUACAUCGGCAAAACUGAUCGCUGCUUAUACACCAGAACUAAGGAACAUUCAUAUCACACAGAAUCUGUAAUCCAUCAACACCUCUCUACUUGCGAACAGUUUCAACAUAUUAAAGCCCUUUUAGAACUAUAUCCCGACGAUGACGCAAAGUCUGAUCAAACCAGUAUGACUGAACAUGUUUUCCACAACACUAAAGUAAUUGAUAAAUCUAACCAUUGGUCCCUUUUGCUGUAUCAAGAAUCCCUGGCUACUCAAAGAUAUAAACCUGAACUUAAUCAUGGACUUAAAGCUAAUUCUAAAGAACUAAUCAUAUUUAAUUAAUUCAUUAAUAAUCAACCUAAUAAUUGUAUCAUAUUUCUUCAUAUAAAUACUGCUUUUGAUAUAUAACCUUGCUAGUUUAUCCUGAUGAUGACUGAAAUAUAGUCGAAACGUAGAUAAAUAAAAAUGUUAUCGAUUUUUGGAGUUUCACUUGUUUUGUAUGCUACUGUACGUGUUCUUGCAAUUUCCCCGUCAGUUAAAUAAAUUAACUUGUCUGUUUCUUUCGCAAUACAUUGUUUCUUUAUUCUUCUUCUCACUCCUUGCAGGGAAAGGAAUGAAAACGAUAUCAUUGCAUUUAUCCAUUAUCCAAGCCAUUGUCUUUGGGUACUUCGACGGUGUAAAUUUUUCCUGUUAUAUGUCUGCAAUCACUGGUUGAUCGCACAUACAUUUCUUCUCAUUUUUAUACAUAGGCUACGACUGAUUUGGGGCUAACUGAAAAAUCACGUGCACGUGCGUCUAAUCUGGUGUUUCCUGUGGUGCUAAUUCAGUGACAGAUUUAGCCAUUUCUUUUAAAGCAUCGGGUUUUUUUCGUACACUAUGCUUCAGAGCUGUACUUUUCAAUCAUCAGGAAGUUCAUGAACCUCUACCGAUCGCGCUGUUACCUUUCUUCAUAUCGAAUGU